UACGGAGGUGGCAAGCGUUGUUCGGAAUUACUGGGCGUAAAGCGCGCGUAGGCGGCUUUGCAAGUCGGGUGUGAAAUCCCCAGGCUUAACCUGGGAACUGCAUUCGAGACUGCAUUGCUAGAGUAUGGGAGAGGGAAGUGGAAUUUCCGGUGUAGUGGUGAAAUGCGUAGAUAUCGGGAGGAACACCAGUGGCGAAGGCGACUUCCUGGCCUGUUCUUGACGCUGAGGCGCGAAAGCGUGGGGGAGCAAACAGG
rnacentral:rRNA from 1 species